rnacentral:rRNA from 1 species
AGAGCGAACGCUGGCGGCAGGCCUAACACAUGCAAGUCGAGCGCCGUAGCAAUACGGAGCGGCAGACGGGAGAGUAACACGUGGGAACGUACCUUUCAGUUCGGAACAACCCAGGGAAACUUGGGCUAAUACCGGAUACGCCCUUACGGGGAAAGAUUUAUCGCUGAAAGAUCGGCCCGCGUCUGAUUAGCUAGUUGGUGGGGUAACGGCCCACCAAGGCUACGAUCAGUAGCUGGUCUGAGAGGAUGAUCAGCCUCACUGGGACUGAGACACGGCCCAGACUCCUACGGGAGGCAGCAGUGGGGAAUAUUGGACAAUGGGCGCAAGCCUGAUCCAGCCAUGCCGCGUGGAUGAUGAAGGCCCUAGGGUUGUAAAGUCCUUUCGGCGGGGAAGAUAAUGACGGUACCCGCAGAAGAAGCCCCGGCUAACUUCGCGCCAGCAGCCGC